CGCGUAGGCGGUCUUGUCGGUCAGAUGUGAAAGCCCAGGGCUCAACCCUGGACGUGCAUUUGAAACAGCAAGACUUGAGUACGGGAGAGGAAAGCGGAAUUCCUGGUGUAGAGGUGAAAUUCGUAGAUAUCAGGAGGAACACCGAUGGCGAAGGCAGCUUUCUGGACCGAUACUGACGCUGAGGCGCGAAGGCGUGGGUAGCGAACAGGAUUAGAUACCCUGGUAGUC
rnacentral:rRNA from 1 species